GUGGAAGGGAGUCUUGAUCUUCUUGAUGUUGAGUCAGUGUUUGUCAUCGGAAGAGAGCAUGCAAAUGCAAUACGGGUACUUGAAAGUUCCGGCAAGUGAGUUUGUGAGCUCCAUUGACACGAUUGUGGGAGUAAUAGGAUAAGUGACUUCGCUUUUGUCUGAGUUUGCGGAUUUCAGUGGAGAUAGUUGGCUGCAAGAUGCGGUUUCGGAUUGCAUGGAUCUGCUCGAUGUUUCUUCAGACGAACUGAGUUGGUCUGCUUAUGCUUCUCAGAAUCCAAAUGAUCACUCGCGAUCCCUCUUCCUCUUCCCCUUCCUCUUUCGUUCUUCUUCAGUUAUGGUGGUCUCCGACUCUUAGCUUUCCCUAUGAUUCAACGGAUUUCUCUUAAGUCUUUGCAUUGUCUCAUUGUUCCGUUGAUUGAAGAAAUCUUCGCUUUCGGCUGCGAUGGGAAAAAAGCAGAGGAAGCUGAUCGUGAUGUUUGCUUGUCAGACCGGAAACGCUCUUGAUGUUGCAGAGCUUAUUAGCCGUGAAGCUGAACGCCGAGGCUGUCAUGCGUUUAUCGUCUCCACCGACGAAUUCAGCCCAAUAUGUGAGAUGUUGUUGUGAAUCAAUAUUAUUUCAUACUGUGUUCUGAAGAUUGUUUGCUUCAGAUGUUUAAUAUGAAGGAAACCGUUACAAUUCCUCUGUUUGAUCACUUAGAACCGAUGAUUGUUGUACUCAUCCUCCCCACCUUGGAUUUCUCUAUGUAAUCUGCCUUGGCAAGGGCGUCGUGAAGGCACCAGAAAUCUGAAUUAUGGCAAGAUCAGUGAAACAGAAGGCUUACACAUGUCGAGGCAGGUGCCAAAGCUUAUAUUUUUUUCUGGUGGUGCAACUCUUGCUGCUGAUAUUGGAGAUCUUUUGUUAAUCAAGGUUUUCUUAAAACUGGAGGUGCUCCUAAUCAGAAAGACGAGGAUGGCAAUAGGCCAUUAGAAGUUGCAUCUGUAAGAGAGAACAAAAAAAUAGUCGAGACUCUUCCCGUUGACAACAAAGUCUGAAACUGUUUCAGACUGGACAUUUGUUGGAGUUCUAGCUCACAUGGAAUCAAAUAAAGAACAAGAGGAAAACUCAAUGAAGUCAAAAUCCUUAGAGGCUGUGAUUAAGAAAGACCUUCCUGAGAUCUCUCCAGACCCAAAGGCGCAAGCCACAAAAGCAAAAGCAAGAGGAGAAGACACGUUAACAGAAAGCAUUUCCAGAUGGCCAUUGCCACUUACACACAAGUAUUCAACACUAAACUUGUGGCCAUUGAUUUUGACCCCACACAUCAUACCUUCUUCUGAAACGGAAGACUCUGCUGGUUGCGGUUAGGACAAGCUGAACAUGCCUUAUAUGAUGCUAAAGUCUGCAGAGAACUAAAACCUGAUUGGCCUAAAGGAUGUUGUUUCCGUGAAGGUGUCACUCUUCGUUUGCUACAGAGAAGCUGUAGAUUUGGGGAUAAUCUGAGAAAGAGUCUUGCUUGGGACAAAGCCUUUUUCAUCAAUGCAGCAAGCAAGU